ACGGAAGGCAGCAGUGGGGAAUAUUGGACAAUGGGCGAAAGCCUGAUCCAGCGACGCCGCGUGAGUGAAGAAGUAUUUCGGUAUGUAAAGCUCUAUCAGCAGGGAAGAUAAUGACGGUACCUGACUAAGAAGCCCCGGCUAACUACGUGCCAGCAGCCGCGGUAAUACGUAGGGGGCAAGCGUUAUCCGGAUUUACUGGGUGUAAAGGGAGCGUAGACGGUAUGGCAAGUCUGAUGUGGAAACCCAGGGCUCAACCCUGGGACUGCAUUGGAAACUGUAGUUCUUGAGUAUCGGAGAGGCAAGCGGAAUUCCUAGUGUAGCGGUGAAAUGCGUAGAUAUUAGGAGGAACACCAGUGGCGAAGGCGGCUUGCUGGACGACAACUGACGCUGAGGCGCGAAAGCGUGGGGAGCAAACAGGAUUAGAUACCCUGGUA
rnacentral:rRNA from 1 species